rnacentral:rRNA from 1 species
UGGGGAAUUUUGGACAAUGGGCGCAAGCCUGAUCCAGCAAUGCCGCGUGCAGGAUGAAGGCCUUCGGGUUGUAAACUGCUUUUGUACGGAACGAAAAGCCCUGGGUUAAUACCCUGGGGUCAUGACGGUACCGUAAGAAUAAGCACCGGCUAACUACGUGCCAGCAGCCGCGGUAAUACGUAGGGUGCGAGCGUUAAUCGGAAUUACUGGGCGUAAAGCGUGCGCAGGCGGUUUUGUAAGACAGAGGUGAAAUCCCCGGGCUCAACCUGGGAACUGCAUUUGUGACUGCAAGGCUAGAGUACGGCAGAGGGGGAUGGAAUUCCGCGUGUAGCAGUGAAAUGCGUAGAUAUGCGGAGGAACACCGAUGGCGAAGGCAAUCCCCUGGGCCUGUACUGACGCUCAUGCACGAAAGCGUGGGGAGCAAACAGG